AUUUGAUUAGUAUAUUAGUAUAUUUGACUUCCAAUCAGAAGGACUGAACAUCUAUUCAGAUCAAAUA
rnacentral:tRNA from 1 species